UGAGUUUGAUUCCUGGCUCAGGACGAACGCUGGCGGCGUGCCUAAUACAUGCAAGUCGAACGAACUCUGGUAUUGAUUGGUGCUUGCAUCAUGAUUUACAUUUGAGUGAGUGGCGAACUGGUGAGUAACACGUGGGAAACCUGCCCAGAAGCGGGGGAUAACACCUGGAAACAGAUGCUAAUACCGCAUAACAACUUGGACCGCAUGGUCCGAGCUUGAAAGAUGGCUUCGGCUAUCACUUUUGGAUGGUCCCGCGGCGUAUUAGCUAGAUGGUGGGGUAACGGCUCACCAUGGCAAUGAUACGUAGCCGACCUGAGAGGGUAAUCGGCCACAUUGGGACUGAGACACGGCCCAAACUCCUACGGGAGGCAGCAGUAGGGAAUCUUCCACAAUGGACGAAAGUCUGAUGGAGCAACGCCGCGUGAGUGAAGAAGGGUUUCGGCUCGUAAAACUCUGUUGUUAAAGAAGAACAUAUCUGAGAGUAACUGUUCAGGUAUUGACGGUAUUUAACCAGAAAGCCACGGCUAACUACGUGCCAGCAGCCGCGGUAAUACGUAGGUGGCAAGCGUUGUCCGGAUUUAUUGGGCGUAAAGCGAGCGCAGGCGGUUUUUUAAGUCUGAUGUGAAAGCCUUCGGCUCAACCGAAGAAGUGCAUCGGAAACUGGGAAACUUGAGUGCAGAAGAGGACAGUGGAACUCCAUGUGUAGCGGUGAAAUGCGUAGAUAUAUGGAAGAACACCAGUGGCGAAGGCGGCUGUCUGGUCUGUAACUGACGCUGAGGCUCGAAAGUAUGGGUAGCAAACAGGAUUAGAUACCCUGGUAGUCCAUACCGUAAACGAUGAAUGCUAAGUGUUGGAGGGUUUCCGCCCUUCAGUGCUGCAGCUAACGC
rnacentral:rRNA from 2 species